rnacentral:lncRNA from 12 species
GCUCAUUAAAUUUAUCAAUGAAAUAAAAUUGGAAGACAAAAUCAAAACAAAGAAGAACUGGAACAUCAUAUAGGAAGUCUAUAUAACCUUGAGGACUGGAGUAAUAGAAGUCAUAUGGUCAUAUACUAGGGACUAAGAAAAAAAUUCUGAUAGAAGAGAGGAGAUUUGCAGAAAGAGUACAGAUAAAACAUCUGGAUUCAGUUGCCAGUUGCCAGUGUACUGUGGACAGCUGUAAGAUGUGCCUAGAUGAAGGUAAGUGAAAUCUUGAAAUGUCUCUUGUUGCUGUUUCAGAAUACAUGGAAGAAGCUAAAGCUCCACAGAGAGAUGACCUGUUCAAUGUAAGAAACAAUAUUGACACAAGAACAAAUGGAAAGAUGUGUGAAAUGUGAAGCAGGUUUGGCCAGCUUACAGUGAAUAUGACUUUGGAACAUGCAAGAAACUAGAGAAGAAAAGGAAUUGAGCUGCUGUUGCUUUAAAAGAUUGCAGGCAUGUGGAUGAACUGCAGGAUCAAAACUUUCCAUUCCAAUUGGAAUAACAAGAAAAGUCAUCUCACGCGCUGGGACACACUUUGGUUUCAUCAGCUGCCUUCUUUUGAUCUGCAGCACCGCACAAGCGCUGAGCCGAAAACUCCUGUUAACUAGGGUGACAAGUUUCCAGCAAGCUUUGGAUCACGGGGAGAGGGAACACCCGGAUCCCGGCAAUAUAAGGUAUAGACGCCUCUGCUUGUGCAACACAGCAGCGGGGCAGAGCCCAUUUUAUUCUUGCCUUUUUUGGAUCCGCACGCACACAGCGCUCGGCACAAUGGAGCCGGCUCGGCGAUAGCGCAGGAAUAAAGCCGCCGCAGCGCCGCUCGCCAAGGGUGCGACUGCCGACCCCCCCCCCCCCCCCCCCCCCCCCCCCCCCCCCCCCCCCCCCCCCCCCCCCCCCCCCCCCCCCCCC